CUGUUGUUGUUGCUAUUUCUUGGGCCGCUCCCCCGGCAUAUGGAGGUUCCCAGGCUAGGGGUUGAAUCGGAGCUGUAGCCACCAGCCUACACCAGAGCCACAGCAACGCGGGAUCCGAGCUGCAUCUGCAACCUACACCACAGCUCAUGGCAACGCCGGAUCGUUAACCCGCACCCUCAUGGUUCCUAGUCGGAUUCGUUAACCACUGCGCCACGACGGGAACUCCAUCAGCAGGAUAUUCUAGAUGUGAUACUGAAAAGCAAGAGUGAGUCAACAGCAGAAUAAUUAGCUUCUCCACAGGAACCUGCAGUCUAAUUUUAAAGCUUAUCUGAUGUUUCUCAUUAAAAUAACAUAAAUAUGUUUCUUGAGCUUUUAUUCCUCUCCAACUCUCAUCCUAUUUCUCUACAUACUACCUGAAAUUUAUCCCAUAUUCCAAUAUUUUGAUACUAGGAAAUACUACUUCCUCCCUUUUAUUACCAGUGAAAGUAGGAUGUUUCCCAAAAUGUGGUAUGGUUUUUAGAUUAGUAUGGAAAAGAAAGGAGAGGUAGAUAUUUUCAGCCUCCACUCUCUCCAUCCUUUAACUAUCUAUACCUUCUUAAAGGAAGUGAUUUUUUGUCAUAUUUAUAACCCAACAGAGUCCUGGUCUCCGUAUGUGGGAAAGAGGAAGGUUUAGCAUGAGGCUCUGACUCUAUGUAAUCCCACUCCUUUUAUAUGUGUGGGAUAGCUAGAAUUCAAGUGUAAGUUGCACACAUAGGAAGUCUUAUAUUACCAUCCUAGGUCUGAGCUUUCAUUGUAUCCCCUACUAAUUCAUCCUUUCAGCAGUAGAUAAGAUUCUGCACAGAACAAUGUGUUUGGGUGGUAAGAAGUUGGAAAGAGGGAUUGGAGAACAUGACAGUCACGUGGCCUGACAUGGCUAUGUAUCUAGCAGAUCAGUGAGACAAGAGGAGUCAAAAGUAGGGCAGAGUUGGAGUAGAAAAAGAAUGACAAAAUGGAAACAGGUAUUUAAUAUCAAGGAAAAGUUCCCAAGUAGACAUUAAAACAUCUAAGUUCUAAUUUAUUCAGAAUAUUUACUAGCCGUGUGAUUAUGAUCAAAAGCUAAACUAGUUAAUACUGGUGUUAAAUAAUUUAGAAAAUGGGACAUAUAAUGAACAAAUACUUGUAAAUUGUCUGAAAACUAUAACCUCUAUGCAAAUUAAGCAGAUAUAUUACAAAUUAUUAUAAGAAUGUCUUUACACAUAUUAUUAUUGUCUACAAAUGGUACAACUUAAGUAUUUGAUUAAAAAUAUAUUUUGUUUGUUUUGAGUAAUCUUAUUCACUCUUAUUUUUGCCAUUUUCUUCAUUUUAUUUAUUUAUUUAUAGAAGUAUGGUCGAUUUAGGAUGUUGUAUUAGUUGUAUUAGUACAGCAAAGUUAUUCAGUUGUAAAUAUAUAUAAAUAUAUGUAUAUGUAUAAAUAUGUGUAUUCUUUUUCAGAUUCUGUCCCAAUAUUUUAAAAUAUUGAGUAUAGUUCCUUGUGCUAUACAGUAGGUCCUUGUUUAUAUAUUUUAUAUUUAGCUGUGUGUAUAUGUUAAUCUCAAAUUGCUAAUUUACCCCUCCCCCCACCUUUCCCUUUGGUAACUAUAAAUUUGCUUUCUAUGUCUGUGAGUCUGUUUCUGAAAAUGAUCCUAUAAUCCCAACUUCAGCAUGUAAAUCUGGAGAAAACUAUAAUUUGAAAAGAUGCAUGCACUCUAAUGUUCAUUGCAGCAAUAUUUAUACUAGCCAAGACAUGGAAGCAACCUAAACCUAAAUAUCCAUCAACAGAUGAAUGGUUAAAGAAGAUGUGGUAUAUAUAGAAAGACAAACAUCAUAUGAUAUCACUUAUAGGUGGAAUCUAAAAAACUAUGAUACACAUGAACUUAUUUAUGAAUAAUUCACUCUCAUUUUUUAUAGAAGUGCAACUCAAACUAACUUAAAAUGGUUAGUUCAUUUAACAAAGAGGUUUGUUUCAGAUAUAGAUAGAUUUGGGGUUAAUGUAAUACUGUCAUGAUUAUGCCUCCAUUUAUCAGUUCAGCUGAUGAUCUUGCCGCUUUUUUCGUGUUGGACUUCUUAUUCUACUGCAGAUAAACUUUUUUGCAUAACCAAGAAGGAUGACUCCUGGGAAUCAUACCCUAUUUGUUUAUAGCUAAGGAUACGACAGCAUUCCCAGUGGGAAAGCUCACAGGAUAAUUCUCAUUGAUCUCUCUGGGUCCUAGUGGCCAACUUUGCAUCAACCACUCUUCCCACAGGGAUGCAGUGUUAUAACUGGCCUAGCUUGACCGAUAUGCUCAACUUUGUUGCUAUGUAAUCCACUAUACAAGAAUGUCCAUCUCAUAGGACUACAAAUGAGGUGAAUUCCAAUUAACAAGUGAAAGAAGGUUUCCACAAUUUCAAUAGUUGAAAUUAAAAAAAAAUACCACAUAUGAUAUUUAUAUCAUUUGAGUUACAAAAUAAUUGGGAAUUUGGUUUGAUAGAGCAAAUUCUGAAAUUUAUUUUUUAUUUUUAUUUAUUUUUGUAUUUAUUUUUUGUCUUUUUUGCCAUUCCUUGGGCCGCUCACAUGGCAUAUGGAGGUUCCCAGGCCAGGGGUCCAGUCGGAGCUGUAGCCACUGGCCUGCACCAGAGCCAUAGCAACGCUGGAUCCGAGCUGCGUCUGCAACCUACACCACAGCUCAGGGCAACACCAGAUCCUUAACCCACUGAGCAAGGCCAGGGAUCGAACCCACAACCUCAUGGUUCCUAGUCGGAUUCGCUAACCACUGAGCCACGACGGGAACCCCAUCCGAAAUUUAUAAACCUGUAAAAGCACUGGGAAACUGGGAGAAAUGCGAAAAGAAAGACAACUGGGAGGGUGUUCAGGCAUAGGAAAGCACAAGUGUGGCUUACAUUGAACUCAUAGUACCGACUGAUAUCUGAUGUUUCACUGAAAAUGUCUUUAUUAAUUAAGUGUACUAUAAAUCCCACCUAGUUUUCCCAACUCAGGCACGCUUUAGUUCUCCAGGUCAGGUGGUAUACUUGUUAAAUCCUCUGUAGGAGGAAAUAAAGUGGAGCAAAGAAAAAUCAAGAAGAAAUAUAGACGUACUCAUGUCAAACCCCGUGUUCUAUCUCUCCUACUAUUUCUUCUAUAUUUUCCAAAACACUUUUUAAACCUGUAUUUACUAUAUAUUUAAAACAGCAUGGAAGUUUUCAAUGUUCUGUUUUUUGGAAACAUAACACAAUAAAAAUGAGUAACACAACUCCUUAAAAUAGACCACUCUUAUUCUUUCUAAAGUGUAGUGGUAGAUAGAACUGCUUUCUUUUGACAAACUUAUAUUUUUCCCCUCUUUUCCUUGCAUAGUUCAGUGUUCAGUUCUAUAGUGAUGAAUGUAUUGUAUUCCUCAAGGCAGUUCUGACUCUAAUCAAAGAAGUGGGAGUGUUCUAAGCAAGAAAUUACAGUAAAUCUUAAGUAUAUGUUGGUCUUUACAACAUGCUUACUCGUCUAUUCAGGGAAGAAAGCUACUCAUUUUGCUGUAGUUUCCGAGUUUUCCCUCUUAAAGCCUCUAAAUUACGAUGAUUUUACACACAUUUCCUUUCAAAUGUUCUCAUUACCUUAGCUUGAAAUAAAGUACUUAUAGACCUUAGUAUGAGAGUCAUGCAUUUUAAAUGUAAGCAAUUAUCAAAGUGUGAAAUAGAAAUUUUUCAUUUUUUUUACCACUUCAUUUGUUUAUUAAUUACUGGAGACUCUGAAUAAUGUCAGACCACAGCGAAAAUCAGUAUUUGUUUAGAGUUUUUUUUCUUUUCAUCUUUCAAAAUUUUUUUUCUGAUAUUUUGGAUUUUUCUGUGAAAAAGAAGUUAUGUAUAAUGUUAGGGUGUAGUGGCACUAGAAUCUUAAUCUGGAUUUUCUGUCAAGGAUAACUUAAAACGUUAAUAAAAAGCAAAAUACAUUAACUGAUUUUAGUGAGGUAUAUGUUGAAGAAUAGAUAGGUGAAGGAACCCAUGGAUCAAUGAGACAACCAUCCAUCUUACUGCCCCAGGGAUUUUUAGGCUAUUCUACCUGAGGCUGUCUGUACCCUCUCUAUUAAAUGAUGUUCUCUCUAUCUUGGGCCCAGGUGUCAUUCUUCUCCACAGGAGGGCCCUGAACAUCUCACUCUAUCCUGACUCUCAAGAAAGCAUGAAGGACAGAUGCUGGAGGUUUUCACAUGAAAGUUUGAUAGUCUAUAAACCCUUAGCAUUUACCUAAGGAAGGUGCAUGGUCCACUGGGUUCAGUUUUAAAUUUCAUUGAGCCACCGAUCCUCAAAACAAGUCAGUCACUCAUUAUUAUGUCUGGGGUAAUUAGCACAGAGAGCACACAAUAUAAACUCAGUUGCUUGUGCUAUGUGUAUUAGAGAAACAUCAUCCAAAUAGUAGAUAAAAUAAAAAUUUGAACUAUCGUAAUUUAGUGAUUCCCAGAAGAUAUAUAUUUUUAUAGUCUGCCUGAGCUAAUUUUCUACAUAGAAUGAUUUAUUUUUACCUAAUUUUUAAGGAGGUGAAUUGGUUUUGAACAAAUUUGAUGUCAGUCAUGGAAAUAUUGUUGGUCUGUGUCUUAAUAUUUAGGUCAUCUUGCUGUAUCACCAAAUUAAGAUACGCAAAAGAAAAUAUUAGUAAUAUUUAAUAAAAAGAUUAUAAUAGAGAACUCUUAUUGAAUAUGUAAUUGUGCAUGGUGUGAAUUAAAGCCCGUUUGUGUUCUAACUGAUGUUACAUAGUUGUAGUUUUCACUCAACAUAAGUUAUACUGCCAUACAUCGUCCAAGAAUAUGCCUGAGGCCAGAAUAAAGUUGUAUCAAUAGUUGUUAUGAAUGUUACAUAAAAUGACAGAACUCAGUAAGUCGACCUCAUACACCUUAGAAAUAACCGUCAUCACCACCACCUUCAUCAACGGCAGCAUCACAGCGCAGUCACCAUGUCCAAACUCACUGCAUACACGACUGUAUUUCAGUUAAUAUUACCAGUACCUCUUUGACGUAGAUGUAAUCGAUUCCAUUCUAAAUACACAAAAACAGGAAUCAGAUAGAUUAAGUAACUUGUCCCAAGACACGCAGCUGAAAAAAUGGCAUAAGCUAGGAUUUCAACAUUGUUCUCUUCUAUUCUGGAAUUCUCAUCAACCACCACCAUACAUUCUACCGCUUCUCUUAGGAACACACUCGACAACCCAGAUGUUCACUUGAUUUUACUGACGUAUUUUACAUGAGCCUGUUGUUUUCCUUGCGUGGACAGUUUCCAUGGAAAUCCUCUGAUUCCUGACUUCUACUGUCUACUGUUUUCUCAAUUAUAUGUGAAAUGUAGCUUCUGAUUUCCUCACUUAGGAAUUAGGUCAAUUUAGAUGAAACUGAUAACAGAGUCUUGGCACAUGACUCAUUUUUUUUUUCAUAGUAUUAUUCUUGCCAUAAGUGAUUUUUAUUCCUUACCUUAUGCAAAUUAUCAUCACCUAAAUCCAGCAUACCAGAAGAUUUGAAAAUUAAGUACUGUCUGAGACUUUGAGAUAGGAAAGUCAGUUAGAUUUGUCUUACAGAGAACCCAUUUUCUGGGGGCCAUGCCACUUCCAGAUAACUUAGAUCAUGUUGCUAAAUUAUAUGAACUAAAAGAGAGGCAAAAAUCAGGAAAAAAAAAAAAAAACUGGUUCAAAAUGUACAAAGGGCAAAUCUCAUUAGAAGGAUUUACAAUCCAAUUACAUGAGUUCUAAGAGACUAGCCAAAUUAUUGAGGCUAUUCAUAUUAUUUUACUAGAGCAGAGUGUCACUAUAUUGAAUAAAGGAAUUAUUAGCAAGACCUUGAAAGAACAGUUAGAGAUCUUUGUUCUAAUAUGAUUUGAUUUGUUUAUAAAGUGUUUCCCAAAGCCAGUAACAAUUGUCAUGCUGGUAUUAUAAUAAUGUUUUCUUUUUUCAUAUUCAAAUCUUAAACUAGACUUUUGAAUAAAUACAAGAGGGGUGGAUGUUAAUGCAUUUCCUGAGUGAGGAUUAAGCAUCUAUAUUUUUAAUUGCCAUAAUGAUUAACUUUCUCUAAAUGAGUACAACUCUUUAGAAUAUUUUUUUUACCACCAGACAUUUUUUUUACUGCAUAAAGUAUGAAAUAAUGAAGCACUCAAAUGGUAACAUUCUACUGCAAAUCAUCAACCAACAAAGCUUCUGUUUUCAUUGUUGUUCUCACUAAAAUCUAUAUAAAGUAGAGAAUAACAAGGAGAAAAAAACACAGAGAAAAAAAUUACUUUAAAGAUUAUGAAC
rnacentral:lncRNA from 1 species